CAGGGAACUACAGUCCAAACAUGGAAUUGUAACUUCACCAUCACAGCUCCUGUUGGAAAUAAGAUUGCUCUGACCAUAAGUGACUUCCAUUUAGAGUCUUCCAGUUUCUGUAUGUACGACUAUCUAACACUCUUCAUGGAUGGUACAAAAAGGGGUCCAUUCUGUGGGGAUCGCACCAUCCCUGUGCUUUACUCCAAAGGCAACUCUAUGGUUCUCGUAUUCCACAGUGACCAGUCUACCCAGGCAAAGGGCUUCCAAGUCUCUUACACCUUCUCCCCAAAGAGUGAAGACUUCCGAAGUGC